rnacentral:rRNA from 1 species
AGUGAACGCUGGCGGUAGGCCUAACACAUGCAAGUCGAACGGCAGCACAGUAAGAGCUUGCUCUUACGGGUGGCGAGUGGCGGACGGGUGAGGAAUACAUCGGAAUCUACUUUUUCGUGGGGGAUAACGUAGGGAAACUUACGCUAAUACCGCAUACGACCUACGGGUGAAAGCAGGGGAUCUUCGGACCUUGCGCGAUUGAAUGAGCCGAUGUCGGAUUAGCUAGUUGGCGGGGUAAAGGCCCACCAAGGCGACGAUCCGUAGCUGGUCUGAGAGGAUGUUCAGCCAGACUAGAACUGAGACACGGUCCAGAAUCCGACGGGAGGCAGCAGUGGCGAAUAUUUGACAAUGGGCGCAAGCCUGAUCCAGCCAUACCGCGUGGGUGAAGAAGGCCUUCGGGUUGUAAAGCCCUUUUGUUGGGAAAGAAAAGCAGCAGGUUAAUACCCCGCUGUUCUGACGGUACCCAAAGAAUAAGCACCGGCUAACUUCGUG